rnacentral:rRNA from 1 species
UGGGGAAUUUUGGACAAUGGGCGAAAGCCUGAUCCAGCAAUACCGCGUGCAGGAAGAAGGCCCUCGGGUUGUAAACUGCUUUUGUACGGAACGAAACGGCGCGCUCUAAUAAAGUGCGCUAAUGACGGUACCGUAAGAAUAAGCACCGGCUAACUACGUGCCAGCAGCCGCGGUAAUACGUAGGGUGCAAGCGUUAAUCGGAAUUACUGGGCGUAAAGCGUGCGCAGGCGGUUUUGUAAGACAGGCGUGAAAUCCCCGGGCUUAACCUGGGAAUUGCGCUUGUGACUGCAAGGCUAGAGUACGGUAGAGGGGGGUAGAAUUCCGCGUGUAGCAGUGAAAUGCGUAGAUAUGCGGAGGAACACCGAUGGCGAAGGCAGCCCCCUGGACCUGUACUGACGCUCAUGCACGAAAGCGUGGGGAGCAAACAGGAUUAGAUACCCUGGUAGUCCACGCCCUAAACGAUGUCAACUGGUUGUUGGGAAUUUACUUUCUCAGUAACGAAGCUAACGCGUGAAGUUGACCGCCUGGGGAGUACGGCCGCAAGGUUG